rnacentral:rRNA from 1 species
CUACGGGGGGCAGCAGUGGGGAAUAUUGGACAAUGGGCGAAAGCCUGAUCCAGCCAUGCCGCGUGUGUGAAGAAGGCCUUCGGGUUGUAAAGCACUUUCAGUGGGGAAGAAAGCCUUGGGGCUAAUACCCUCGAGGAAGGACAUCACCCACAGAAGAAGCACCGGCUAACUCCGUGCCAGCAGCCGCGGUAAUACGGAGGGUGCGAGCGUUAAUCGGAAUUACUGGGCGUAAAGCGCGCGUAGGCGGUCUGAUAAGCCGGUUGUGAAAGCCCCGGGCUCAACCUGGGAACGGCAUCCGGAACUGUCAGGCUAGAGUGCAGGAGAGGAAGGUAGAAUUUCCGGUGUAGCGGUGAAAUGCGUAGAGAUCGGGAGGAAUACCAGUGGCGAAGGCGGCCUUCUGGACUGACACUGACGCUGAGGUGCGAAAGCGUGGGUAGCAAACAGGAUUAGAUACCCUGUAGU